CCCUUAGAUGUUCUGGGCCGCACGCGCGCUACACUGAUGCAUUCAACGAGUCUAAAACCUGCUCUGAUAGGGGUGGGUAAUCUUUUGAAUGUGCAUCGUGAUUGGGAUAGAUGAUUGCAAUUUUUCAUCUUCAACGAGGAAUGCCUAGUAAACGUAAGUCAUCAGCUUGCAUUGAUUACGUCCCUGCCCUUUGUACACACCGCCCGUCGCUCCUACCGAUUGAAUGAUCCGAUGAAUAUCAUGGAUUGAGGAUGCAAGUAGGUUCGCCUAUCUUCAUCUUCGAGAAGUGAAGUAAAUCUUAUCAUUUAGAGGAAGGAGAAGUCGUAACA
rnacentral:rRNA from 1 species